rfam:Polaribacter sp. KT25b genome assembly, chromosome: I
UAUUUGCAUGAGCGAUAGAAAUGGCAUCCUUUUUUGCUGAUUUUUUUCAGCAUAAAAAGAUAUAAUGGAUAGCGCGUUUUUUG